AUUGAACGCUGGUGGCAUGCUUAACACAUGCAAGUCGGACGGUAACAGGUGUAGCUUGCUACAUGCUGACGAGUGGCGGACGGGUGAGUAAUACAUAGGAAUCUGCCUUAUGGAGGGGGAUAGCUCAGGGAAACUUGAGGUAAUACCGCGUAAGACCGGAAGGUGAAAGGGGGCGCAAGCUCUCGCCAUAAGAUGAGCCUAUGUUGGAUUAGCUAGUUGGUAGGGUAAAGGCUUACCAAGGCGACGAUCCAUAGCUGUUCUGAGAGGAAGGACGGCCACACUGGGACUGAGACACGGCCCAGACUCCUACGGGAGGCAGCAGUGGGGAAUAUUGGACAAUGGGGGCAACCCUGAGCCAGCAAUGCCAUGUGUGUGAAGAAGGCCUUCGGGUUGUAAAGCACUUUAGUGAGGGAGCAAAGGAGAUGUGUAAAUACCACAUUUUUGUGAGAGUACCUCAAGAAUAAGCACCGGCAAACUCUGUGCCAGCAGCCGCCGUAACAC
rnacentral:rRNA from 1 species